AACGAACGCUGGCGGCAGGCCUAAUACAUGCAAGUCGAGCGCACCUUCGGGUGAGCGGCGGACGGGUGAGUAACGCGUGGGAAUAUGCCUCUUGGUACGGAAUAGCCUCUGGAAACGGAGAGUAAUACCGUAUGUGCCCUUUGGGGGAAAGAUUUAUCGCCAAGAGAUUAGCCCGCGUCUGAUUAGGUAGUUGGUGGGGUAACGGCCUACCAAGCCUACGAUCAGUAGCUGGUUUGAGAGGAUGAUCAGCCACACUGGGACUGAGACACGGCCCAGACUCCUACGGGAGGCAGCAGUAGGGAAUCUUAGACAAUGGGGGAAACCCUGAUCUAGCCAUGCCGCGUGUGUGAUGAAGGCCUUAGGGUUGUAAAGCACUUUCGCCAGGGAUGAUAAUGACAGUACCUGGUAAAGAAACCCCGGCUAACUCCGUGCCAGCCGCCGCCGUAACAC
rnacentral:rRNA from 1 species